rnacentral:rRNA from 1 species
GAUGAACGCUGGCGGCGUGCCUAAUACAUGCAAGUCGAGCGAACGGACGAGAAGCUUGCUUCUCUGAUGUUAGCGGCGGACGGGUGAGUAACACGUGGAUAACCUACCUAUAAGACUGGGAUAACUUCGGGAAACCGGAGCUAAUACCGGAUGAUAUUUUGAACCGCAGGGUUCAAAAGUGAAAGACGGUCUUGCUGUCACGUAUAGAUGGAUCCGCGCUGCAUUAGCUAGUUGGUAAGGUAACGGCUUACCAAGGCAACGAGGCAUAGCCGACCUGAGAGGGUGAUAGGCCACCCGAGAACUGAGACGCGGUCCUGGCGCCUACGGGACGCCGCAGUAGGGUACGUUCCGCAGUGGGCGGAAGCCUUGCAGAGCAGCGCCGCGUGAGUUGUGGCGGUCUUCCGUUCGUAAAGCUCUGCUAUUAGGGAAGAACAGAUGUGUAAGUAACUGUGCACAUCUUGACGGUACCUAGUCAGAAAGCCCCGGCUAACUACGUG